rnacentral:rRNA from 1 species
CCCGACUGCUAUUUGGGUGAGGAUUAGCCAUGCGAGUUGAAUGGGAAACCUAAAGAUCCCAUGGCAAACUGCUCAGUAACACAUGAUCAACUUACCCUAUAGAGAAAAAUAACCUCGGGAAACUGAGGAUAAUGUUUCAUAGUUGAAAAGGCUUGGAAAAGUCUUUCAAUCAAAAGGAUAAGAAAAAUGGUUUUUAUCCGCUAUAGGAUAGGAUCGUGGUCGAUUAUGGUUGUUGGUGAGGUAAUGGCUCACCAAGCCGAUAAUCGAUAGGGGCCGUGAGAGCGGGAGCCCCGAGAUGGGUACUGAGACAACGACCCAGGCCUUACGAGGCGCAGCAGGCGCGAAACCUCCGCAAUACACGAAAGUGUGACGGGGUUACCCAAAGUGUUCAAUUUUGAACUGUGGUAGGUGAGUAAUGUUCCCUACUAGAAAGGAGAGGGCAAGGCUGGUGCCAGCCGCCGCGGUAAAACCAGCUCUUCAAGUGGUCGGGAUAAUAUUGGGCUUAAAGUGUCCGUAGCCGGUUUAGUAAGUUCCUGGUAAAAUCGGGUAGUUUAACUAUCUGUAUGCUAGGAAUACUGCUAAACUAGAGGGCGGGAGAGGUCUGAGGUACUACAGGGGUAGGGGUGAAAUCUUAUAAUCCUUGUAGGACCACCAGUGGCGAAGGCGUCAGACUGGAACGUGCCUGACGGUGAGGGACGAAAGCCAGGGGAGCGAACCGGAUUAGAUACCCGGGUAGUCCUGGCCGUAAACGAUGCAUACUAGGUGAUGGCAUGGCCAUGAGCCGUGUCAGUGCCGUAGGGAAACCGUUAAGUAUGCCGCCUGGGAAGUACGGUCGCAAGGCUAAAACUUAAAGGAAUUGGUGGGGGAGCACCACAAGGGGUGAAGCCUGCGGUUCA